UUAUUCUAAUUUCUAAAUCAAAACCCCAAAUCCACACAAUUAUUCACAAAAAUGAAAACUUUCCUAAAAUAGAAUUUUUGAGAAUUUUAUCUAAAAUAUACAACCUAUUGAUCAAAACUUUUAGAAGAAUACUCAUCUAUCAAAAAAUUUUUUUGUUAUCCUAAUUUCUAAAUCACAACCCCAAAACUACAAUAUUUCUCAAUAAAAAUAAAAACUUUCCUAAAAUAAAUUUUUCGAGAAUUUUAUCUUAAAAAUACAAUUUAUUGAUCAAAAAUCCUAUAAGAAUACUCAUAUAUCAACAAAAAUUCUGGUUAUCCUAAUUUGUAAAUCACAACCCCAAAUCUAUAAUAUUUCUCUAUAAAAAUGAAAAUUUUCCUAAAAUAAAAAUUUUGAGAAUUUUAUCUAAAAAAUACAAUUGAUUGAUCAAAAAUCCUGAAAGAAUACCCAUAUAUCAACAAAACUUUUGUUAUUCUAAAUUCUAAAUCACAACCCCAAAUCUACAAUAUUUCUAUAAAGAAAUGAAAACUUUCCAAAAAUAGAAUUUUUGAGAAUUUUAUCUAAAAAAUACAACAGUUGAUAAAAAAAUCUAAAAGAAUACUUAUCUAUAAACAAAAGAUUCUUGUUAUCCUAAUUUCUAAAUUAAAACCCCAAAUCCACACUAUUACUCACAAAAAUGAAAACUUUUUAUAUGAACAAAAAUUCUGGUUAUCCUAAUUUCUAAAUCACAACCUCAAAUUUACUAUAUUUCUCUCUAAAAAUGAAAACUUUCCAAAAAUAGAAUUUUUGAGAAUUUUAUCUAAAAUAUACAACCUAUUGAUAAAAAAAUCUAAAAAAAAUACGACUAUAUUUCUCUCUAAAAAUGAAAACUUUCCAAAAAUAGAAUUUUUGAGAAUUUUAUCUAAAAUAUACAAUCUAUUGAUCAAAAUUUCUAAAAAAGUACUCAUCUAUCAACAAAAAUUCUUGUUAUCCUAAAUUCUAAAUCACAACCCCAAAUCUACAAUAUUUCUAUAAAGAAAUGAAAAAUUUCCUAAAAUAGAAUUUUUGAGAAUUUUAUUUUAAAAAUACAACUAUUGAUCAAAAAAUUCUAAAAGAAUACUCAUCUAUAAACAAAAAUUUCUUGUUAUCCAAAUUUCUAAAUCAAAACCCAAAAUCCACACUAUUAUUCACAAAAAUAAAAACUUUCCUAAAAUAGAUUUUUUGAGAAUUUUAUCUAAAAUAUACAAUCUAUUGAUCAAAAUUUCUAAAAAAGUACUCAUCUAUCUACAAAAAUUCUUGUUAUCCUAAAUUCUAAAUCACAACCCCAAAUCUACAAUAUUUCUAUAAAGAAAUGAAAACUUUCCUAAAAUAGAAUUUUUGAGAAUUUAAUUUAAAAAAUACAACUAUUAAUCAAAAAAUCUAAAAGAAUACACAUCUAUAAACAAAAAAUUCUUAAUAUCCUAAUUUCUAAAUCAAAACCCCAAAUCCACACUAUU
rnacentral:lncRNA from 1 species